rnacentral:rRNA from 1 species
GUGUAUAACUAUAAGAAAAAGGAAGGGAAAUUGUAUAAGAUUAAAAAGCUCAUGGGUUAGAGAUAUAGAAAAGAAAAAGUAGAAAAGGAUAAAAAAGAGGGAAUUCCUAAUCCAAUCAAAAAACCCAUUUUGGUCUUAGUGUGGAUAGAGGAUCUUCCUAUGUUAUACUAUAUAACUCUCAUCCGUGAAAUAUAA